rnacentral:rRNA from 1 species
ACGCUCGACACCUACGGGGGGCAGCAGUGAGGAAUAUUGGUCAAUGGGCGGCAGGCCUGAACCAGCCAAGUAGCGUGAAGGAUGACUGCCCUAUGGGUUGUAAACUUCUUUUAUAUGGGAAUAAAGUUUUCCACGUGUGGAAUUUUGUAUGUACCAUAUGAAUAAGGAUCGGCUAACUCCGUGCCAGGAGCCGCGGUAAUCUGAGCGGGCUGGCAAGGC